rnacentral:rRNA from 1 species
AUUGAACGCUGGCGGCAGGCCUAACACAUGCAAGUCGAGCGAGCGGCGGAGGGGGGAGUAAUGUCUGGGAAACUGCCUGUUGGAGGGGGAUAACUACUGGAAACGGUAGCUAAUACCGCAUACCAUCAGAUGUGCGCAGAUGGGAUUAGCUAGUCGGUGGGGUAAUGGCUCACCUAGGCGACGAUCCGUAGCUGGUCUGAGAGGAUGACCAGCCACACUGGGACGGAGACACGGUCCAGACUCCUACGGGAGGCAGCAGUGGGGAAUAUUGGACAAUGGGCGCAAGCCUGACGCAGCCAUGCCGCGUGUGUGAAGAAGGCCUUCGGAUUGUAAAGCACUGUCGGCAGGGAAGCGGUACCCGCAGAAAAAGCAACGGCUAACUCCGUGCCAGCCGCCGCGGUAAUUC